rnacentral:rRNA from 1 species
UAGGGAAUCUUCCGCAAUGGGCGAAAGCCUGACGGAGCAACGCCGCGUGAGUGAUGAAGGUCUUCGGAUCGUAAAACUCUGUUAUUAGGGAAGAACAAAUGUGUAAGUAACUAUGCACGUCUUGACGGUACCUAAUCAGAAAGCCACGGCUAACUACGUGCCAGCAGCCGCGGUAAUACGUAGGUGGCAAGCGUUAUCCGGAAUUAUUGGGCGUAAAGCGCGCGUAGGCGGUUUUUUAAGUCUGAUGUGAAAGCCCACGGCUCAACCGUGGAGGGUCAUUGGAAACUGGAAAACUUGAGUGCAGAAGAGGAAAGUGGAAUUCCAGGUGUAGCGGUGAAAUGCGCAGAGAUAUGGAGGAACACCAGUGGCGAAGGCGACUUUAUGGUCUGUAACUGACGCUGAUGUGCGAAAGCGUGGGGAUCAAACAGG